AUUGAACGCUGGCGGCAGGCUUAACACAUGCAAGUCGAGCGAGCGGCGGACGGGUGAGAAAUGUCUGGGAAACUGCCUGAUGGAGGGGGAUAACUACUGGAAACGGUAGCUAAUACCGCAUACCAUCAGAUGUGCCCAGAUGGGAUUAGCUAGUAGGUGGGGUAAUGGCUCACCUAGGCGACGAUCCCUAGCUGGUCUGAGAGGAUGACCGGCCACCCUGGAACGGAGACACGGUCCAGCCUCCAACGGAAGGCAGCGUAGGGGAAUAUUGCAAAAUGGGCGAAAGCCUGAUGCAGCAAUGCGGCGGGGGGGAAGAAGGCCUUCGGGUUGAAAAGCACUUUCAGCGAGGAGGCGUUACUCGCAGAAGAAGCACCGGCUAACUCCGUGCCAGCAGCCGCGGUAAUAC
rnacentral:rRNA from 1 species